rnacentral:rRNA from 1 species
UACGUAGGGUGCGAGCGUUAAUCGGAAUUACUGGGCGUAAAGCGUGCGCAGGCGGUGAGCUGUGUCCGAUGUGAAAGCCCCGGGCUUAACCUGGGAAUGGCAUUGGAAACUGGCUUGCUGGAGUGCGGCAGAGGGGGGUGGAAUUCCGCGUGUAGCAGUGAAAUGCGUAGAGAUGCGGAGGAACACCGAUGGCGAAGGCAGCCCCCUGGGUCGACACUGACGCUCAGGCACGAAAGCGUGGGGAGCGAACAGG